UACGUAGGGUGCAAGCGUUAUCCGGAAUUAUUGGGCGUAAAGAGCUCGUAGGCGGUUUGUCGCGUCUGCUGUGAAAACUGGGGGCUCAACCCCCAGCCUGCAGUGGGUACGGGCAGACUAGAGUGCGGUAGGGGAGAUUGGAAUUCCUGGUGUAGCGGUGGAAUGCGCAGAUAUCAGGAGGAACACCGAUGGCGAAGGCAGAUCUCUGGGCCGUGAACUGACGCUGAGGAGCGAAAGCAUGGGGAGCGAACAGG
rnacentral:rRNA from 1 species